rnacentral:rRNA from 1 species
GUUGCCAUCAUUCAGUUGGGCACUCUAGCGAGACUGCCGGUAAUAAACCGGAGGAAGUGGGGAUGACGUCAAAUCAUCAUGCCCUUAUGACCUGGGCUACACACGUGCUACAAUGGUUGGUACAACGAGUUGCGAGUCGGUGACGGCGAGCUAAUCUCUUAAAGCCAAUCUCAGUUCGGAUUGUAGGCUGCAACUCGCCUACAUGAAGUCGGAAUCGCUAGUAAUCGCGGAUCAGCACGCCGCGGUGAAUACGUUCCCGGGCCUU